CGCUAGCGGCAGGCUAACACAUGCAAGUCAGGGGCAGCGGGAUGUAGCAAUACAUUGCCGGCGACCGGCGGAUGGGUGCGUAACGCGUAUGCAACCUACCUUAUACAGGGGAAUAACCUUUCGAAAGGGAGACUAACACCCCAUAGUAUUGAUUUAAGGCAUCUUAGAUUAAUUAAAUAUUUAUAGGUAUAAGAUGGGCAUGCGUAUGAUUAGCUAGUUGGUAAGGUAACGGCUUACCAAGGCGACGAUCAUUAGGGGUUCUGAGAGGAAGGUCCCCCCACACUGGUACUGAGACACGGACCAGACUCCUACGGGAGGCAGCAGUGAGGAAUAUUGGUCAAUGGGCGCAAGCCUGAACCAGCCAUGCCGCGUGCAGGAAAGACGGCCUUAUGGGUUGUAAACUGCUUUUACAUAAGACUAACCGUAUAUUUGCGAAUAUACCUGAAUGUAUUAUGAGAAUAAGGAUCGGCUAACUCCGUGCCAGCAGCCGC
rnacentral:rRNA from 1 species